ACUCCACUGAUACCUUGGAGAUUAUCUGUUCACGGAAUCUGGAAAUGUCACGCACCACCUUUCUGCGAACAGCUUAAAGAAAACGAUCUUGUUUCCCUUAACUUUUCAUCGCUGGACGGACUCCUUUCUAGGCAUCCAUGGAAGACUCUAUACCUUAAUUUCAUAACCUGGCUCUAUACAUGUAAAGAGCUGAGGAAACAUAUUUUCUCCACCAACACAUCAUUUUGUGUACACCUUUGUAGAAGGCUGAACCAACAGUGAUCCAUGAUUCACCAAACUCUAGCUAAUUUUUCAUUGUGAAUCUCUGCUUCGGUUUCCAUCAAUUGCUGGAUGGAGCUUCUCUGAAGAUGAAUAUGUAAGGCUCCUGUCUAUGAGCAUAGCAGAAUAUAAUUAGGAAUCAUUUCU